rnacentral:rRNA from 1 species
AGGACGAACGCUGGCGGCGUGCCUAACACAUGCAAGUCGAGCGGAGGCGGCGGAAGAGCAAUCUGAGGCUGUCUGAGCGGCGGACGGGUGAGUAACGCGUGAGCAACCUGCCUUCCACAGGGGGAUAACGUACCGAAAGGUACACUAAUACCGCAUGAGACCACGGUACUGAUGGUACAGGGGUCAAAGGAGGAAUCCGGUGGGAGAUGGGCUCGCGUCCGAUUAGGUAGUUGGCGGGGUAAUGGCCCACCAAGCCUAUGAUCGGUAGCCGGCCUGAGAGGGUGAACGGCCACAUUGGAACUGAGAGACGGUCCAAACUCCUACGGGAGGCAGCAGUGGGGAAUAUUGGGCAAUGGGGGGAACCCUGACCCAGCAACGCCGCGUGAGGGAAGAAGGUUUUCGGAUUGUAAACCUCUGUUCUUGGAGAAGAGUGUAAGACGGUAUCCAAGGAGGAAGCCCCGGCUAACUACGUG